rnacentral:rRNA from 1 species
UUCGCUAAAGGAUGAGACUAUAUGGUAUCGGGUAGUUGGUGGGGUAAGAGCCUACCAAGCCAAUGACGCCUAGCUGGUCUGAGAGGAUGAUCAGCCACACUGGAACUGAGACACGGUCCAGACUCCUACGGGAGGCAGCAGUGGGGAAUAUUGCACAAUGGAGGAAACUCUGAUGCAGCAACACCGCGUGUAGGAUGACACAUUUCGGUGCGUAAACUCCUUUUAUAUGGGAAGAUAAUGACGGUACCAUAUGAAUAAGCACCGGCUAACUCCGUGCCAGCAGCCGCGGUAAUACGGAGGGUGCAAGCGUUACUCGGAAUCACUGGGCGUAAAGCGCGCGCAGGCGGCCUUUUAAGUUGGAUGUGAAAGCCUACGGCUCAACCGUAGAACUGCAUCCAAAACUAUUGGGCUAGAGUGUGGGAGAGGAAGAUGGAAUUAGUUGUGUAGGGGUAAAAUCCGUAGAGAUAACUAGGAAUACCAAAAGCGAAGGCAAUCUUCUGGAACAUUACUGACGCUGAGGCGCGAAAGCGUGGGGAGCAAACAGGAUUAGAUACCCUGGUAGUCCACGCCCUAAACGAUGAAUGUUAGUCGUCGGGUAGCUAGUCUAUUCGGUGAUGCAGCUAACGCAUUAAACAUUCCGCCUGGGGAGUACGGUCGCAAGAUUAAAACUCAAAGGAAUAGACGGGGACCCGCACAAGUGGUGGAGCAUGUGGUUUAAUUCGAAAAUACGCGAAGAACCUUACCUAGCCUUGACAUAUAUUAGAACACCCUAGAGAUAGAGUGGUGCCUUCGGGAGCUUUUAUACAGGUGCUGCACGGCUGUCGUCAGCUCGUGUCGUGAGGUGUUGGGUUAAGUCCCGCAACGAGCGCAACCCUCGUCACUAGUUACUAACGGUUCGGCCGAGGACUCUAGUGAGACUGCCUUCGUAAGGAGGAGGAAGGUGAGGACGACGUCAAGUCAUCAUGGCCCUUACGGCUAGGGCAACACACGUGCUACAAUGGCCAGGACAAUGAGAAGCGAUACCGCGAGGUGGAGCAAAUCUAUAAACCUGGUCUCAGUUCGGAUUGUAGUCUGCAACUCGACUACAUGAAGCUGGAAUCACUAGUAAUCGUAGAUCAGCUAUGCUACGGUGAAUACGUUCCCGGGUCUUGUACUCACCGCCCGUCACACCAUGGGAGUUGAUUUCACCCGAAGCGGGGAAGCUAAACUGGCUACCCUCC